UUGUGUCUGUGUGACACACGGAGUCACACAUUUCAUUAGGGCUGCUUGCAUGAACGUGGAUGGGCGCUACUUACUGGAGGAGGAUGAGUAACUUACCAGCGGCUACACUACUGAAGAAAGAGGCUUCUUAUUCCUCAGCAGCUACUAGCUGCCCAUAGCAUAGCUCUUCAGAGAAUAAGUGUAGUGUCUCAUGUACCUGUCCCCAUUCAACGCAGGAUGCUGAAAGGCCUGUCUCGUACAGGCAACGGCAGCUGCUAUGUGUGAAAUAUCCAUGCUAUGUUCUAGAGACAGUGUCUCACAUCGCUCCUCCUCACCCUCUGACUUUUAUCUUCUUCCCAUUCAGUCCACUGUAGUGUUUCCUGGCCCCUGGAAAGAGUGAUCUAGAUGUCCUGCUUAAGGGUAAGCAUUUAGCUGUCACUCAUUCUCAGGACCAGUUAUGAGUCUCAGCAUGAACUGCAAAUAGAAGCUUCUGAGAACGUGGCCGAGAUUACCAUUACCCUAUGGUUAGUAUAACAUAAACACCUGGGACGCAUACUUUCAAGUCUUUCUUUAGUAUCCCCUGUUGUGGUUUUUAUGUGCACCACCCAGAAAGUGACACUAUUAGAAGGUGUGGCCCUGUUGGAGUAGGUGUGUCACUGUGGGUGUGGGCUUUAAGGCCCCCAUCCUAGCUUCCUGGAAGCCAGUAUUCUGCUAGUAGCCUUCAGAUGAAGAUGUAGAACUCUCAGCUCCUCCGGCACCAUGCCUGCCUGGAUGCUGCCAUGUUCCCACCUUGAUGAUAAUGGACUGAACCUGUAAGCCAGCCCCAGUUAAAUGUCCUGGUCAUGGUGUCUGUUCACAGCAGUAAAACCCUAACUAAGACAUCCCCCUUCGGACAAUUAUUUUAGUGGACAAUUAUAGAGCCAACCCCAAGUCUUGUUUAUUCAUCUGUGAGCAGAAUAAAAACUCACACAGGCUAGGAAUGCCUUCCGUCUUCCUUUCGUCCUUUACCUAGAGAAAGAGGGGUUUCUCAAGGCUGGCGGGUCUCACAGCUUUAGCAAAUAAUCCUCAAGUAAGGGAAGCUUUUUUUAACCACAAA
rnacentral:lncRNA from 1 species